rnacentral:rRNA from 1 species
GGGUCAGUAGGUUGGUCGUGCCACCGGUACGUACUGGUCUCACUGAUUCCUCCUUCCUGAAGAACCGUAAUGCCAUUAAUUUGGUGUUGCGGGGAAACAGGACUGUUACUUUGAAAAAAUUAGAGUGUUUAAAGCAAGCUAACGCUUGAAUACAUUAGAAUGUAAUAAUGAAAUAGGACGAUCGAUCCUAUUUUGCUGGUUUCUAGGAUUGACGUA